rnacentral:rRNA from 1 species
ACGCGAAGCUCCCUUCGGGGAGCAAGUAGAGUGGCGCACGGGUGAGUAACACGUAGGUAAUCUACCUUUGGAUUGGGAAUAACCACCGGAAACGGUGGCUAAUACCGAAUAAUGCAGCGGCACCUAAUGGUGACAGUUGUUAAAGCGGGGGAUCGCAAGACCUCGCGUCUGAAGAGGAGCCUGCGGCGGAUUAGCUAGUUGGUAAGGUAACGGCUUACCAAGGCGAUGAUCCGUAGCCGGCCUGAGAGGGCGGUCGGCCACACUGACACUGACAUACGGGUCAGACUCCUACGGGAGGCAGCAGUCGGGAAUUUUGGGCAAUGGGCGAAAGCCUGACCCAGCAACGCCGCGUGAAGGAUGAAAUCCCUCGGGAUGUAAACUUCGCAAGAACGGGAAGAAUAAGUGAGAGUUAAUAUCUCUCACGAUGACGGUACCGUUUGUAAGCCCCGGCUAACUCCGUGCCAGCAGCCGCGGUAAUACGGGGGGAGCAAGCGUUG